rnacentral:rRNA from 1 species
GAUGAACGCUGGCGGCGUGCCUAAUACAUGCAAGUCGAGCGAACGGACGAGAAGCUUGCUUCUCUGAUGUUAGCGGCGGACGGGUGAGUAACACGUGGAUAACCUACCUAUAAGACUGGGAUAACUUCGGGAAACCGGAGCUAAUACCGGAUAAUAUUUUGAACCGCAUGGUUCAAAAGUGAAAGACGGUCUUGCUGUCACUUAUAGAUGGAUCCGCGCUGCAUUAGCUAGUUGGUAAGGUAACGGCUUACCAAGGCAACGAUGCAUAGCCGACCUGAGAGGGGGAACGGGCACACUGGAACAGGGACACGGUCCAGAAUCCUACGGGAGGCAAGAGGAGGGAAUCUUCCGGAAAGGGCGGAAGCCUGACGGAGCAACGGCGGGGGAGGGAAGAAAGGCUUCGGAACGUAAAACUCUGUUAUUAGGGAAGAAAAUAAGUUUAAGUAACUGUGCACAGCUUGACGGUACCUAAACAAAAAGCCACGGCUAAAUACGUG